rnacentral:rRNA from 1 species
AUGAACGCUAGCGGCAGGCUUAACACAUGCAAGUCGAGGGGCAGCAUAAUGGAUAGCAAUAUCUAUGGUGGCGACCGGCGCACGGGUGCGUAACGCGUAUGCAACCUACCUUUAACAGGGGGAUAACACUGAGAAAUUGGUACUAAUACCCCAUAAUAUCAUAGAAGGCAUCUUUUAUGGUUGAAAAUUCCGAUGGUUAGAGAUGGGCAUGCGUUGUAUUAGCUAGUUGGUGGGGUAACGGCUCACCAAGGCGACGAUACAUAGGGGGACUGAGAGGUUAACCCCCCACACUGGUACUGAGACACGGACCAGACUCCUACGGGAGGCAGCAGUGAGGAAUAUUGGUCAAUGGACGCAAGUCUGAACCAGCCAUGCCGCGUGCAGGAUGACGGCUCUAUGAGUUGUAAACUGCUUUUGUACGAGGGUAAACGCAGAUACGUGUAUCUGUCUGAAAGUAUCGUACGAAUAAGGAUCGGCUAACUCCGUGCCAGCAGCCGCGGUAAUACGGAGGAUUCAAGCGUUAUCCGGAUUUAUUGGGUUUAAAGGGUGCGUAGGCGGUUUGAUAAGUUAGAGGUGAAAUUUCGGGGCUCAACCCUGAACGUGCCUCUAAUACUGUUGAGCUAGAGAGUAGUUGCGGUAGGCGGAAUGUAUGGUGUAGCGGUGAAAUGCUUAGAGAUCAUACAGAACACCGAUUGCGAAGGCAGCUUACCAAACUAUAUCUGACGUUGAGGCACGAAAGCGUGGGGAGCAAACAGGAUUAGAUACCCUGGUAGUCCACGCAGUAAACGAUGAUAACUCGUUGUCGGCGAUACACAGUCGGUGACUAAGCGAAAGCGAUAAGUUAUCCACCUGGGGAGUACGUUCGCAAGAAUGAAACUCAAAGGAAUUGACGGGGGCCCGCACAAGCGGAGGAACAUGUGGUUUAAUUCGAUGAUACGCGAGGAACCUUACCCGGGCUUGAAUUGCAACUGAAUGAUGUGGAGACAUGUCAGCCGCAAGGCAGUUGUGAAGGUGCUGCAUGGUUGUCGUCAGCUCGUGCCGUGAGGUGUCGGCUUAAGUGCCAUAACGAGCGCAACCCUUAUCGAUAGUUACCAUCAGGUUAUGCUGGGGACUCUGUCGAGACUGCCGUCGUAAGAUGUGAGGAAGGUGGGGACGACGUCAAAUCAGCACGGCCCUUACGUCCGGGGCUACACACGUGUUACAAUGGUAGGUACAGAGGGUAGCUACCCAGCGAUGGGAUGCGAAUCUCGAAAGCCUAUCUCAGUUCGGAUUGGAGGCUGAAACCCGCCUCCAUGAAGUUGGAUUCGCUAGUAAUCGCGCAUCAGCCAUGGCGCGGUGAAUACGUUCCCGGGCCUUGUACACACCGCCCGUCAAGCCAUGGGAGCCGGGGGUGCCUGAAGUUCGUGACCGCAAGGAGCGACCUAGGGCAAAACUGGUGACUGGGGCU